rnacentral:lncRNA from 1 species
GAACUGCAGAUAAAUACAGAAAUUAUGAAACAUCUGCUUUUAAGAAGUCAUCUGUUUGCAGGUCCUCGAUGAAGAGAUUUGACCAAGUAAGGAGUUCUGUGUGUCAGACAAAGACUUGCCAACGUUUGUGGUGAAAUAAUCUGCUCUGUUUGGAGACUGCAGGAAAAAUCCUUUCUGUACAGCUGAAACGUUGCCUGCUGUUUGGUGUUCCACCUCAGCCCAUGUGCAAGCAGAAGGGCCAGCAGUGCAGGGCUGUGGCCUGCAGGACUGAUGGGGGUCUGGCAGUGAGGUGGCCCACGGCACUGUGGUGUGGGUUGAGCUGUCCUGGUGGAGUGCCAUCCUGUGCAUGGUUCUGUGCAGCCAUACCCCCAUGUUUGGCACCUGGGAUUUUUACCGUCUGGUGCAGAAGAUGGAAAAUUCCCUUUAACCAGUUAGGCAGGAUUUCCAGAGGAAAAACUGUAUUUGCUAAAGUCAAGCUGUGAAACAGCUGAUGGAUCACACCCCAGUGAUAUGCCUGAAAAUCAUCCUGUGGAACACUUGAUGUUUAAUGCCUAUCCUGUUCACUGAGUAGCUUUCCUUGAGAAUGAAGGCUCUGUGCAGAAAGCAAGCUCGUCCUGCCUGCACCCAUGGCAGUGGACAUCUUGGUCAAUAGUGCAGCUGCUUCUUCUGAAUGCAGCCCAUGAUAUGAAGCAAUAAGUGAUAAGAGGCUUGGCUGAAAGAACAACUGUGAGCUGUUCAAAACAUGCAUAAGAGUACAUCAGUCUCUGUGAUGUCCUAUAUACUUGUUUUUUCCUUUAAAGGACUUUUUGAUCUGUAAGUAGUUGUUUUGCUUGUGUCAAGUGAGCUUAAGAAAAUGUUUGUAUCUGAAAGGAGUGAGCUCAGCCUAGAAGGC